rnacentral:tRNA from 1 species
GGGUCUUUAGUUCAGUUGGUUAGAGCACCGUGCUCAUAACACGGGAGUCGCAGGUUCAAGUCCUGCAAGACCCAC